GGUUAGGGUUAGGGUUAGGGUUGGAGCUAGGGUUAGGGUUAGGGUUAGGGUUGGAGUUAGGGUUAGUGUUGGAGCUAGGGUUAGGGUUGGGCUUGGAGCUAGGAUUUUUCUGAGUGCAAUGAACCAACUCCCGAGUCUCUAGGACGUUCCUAAAAAAACUUGAUUUUUUCCCAUAGGAAUGCAUGGGUUAGGGUUAGGGUUAGGGUUGGAGCUAGGGUUAGGGUUAGGGUUAGGGUUGGAGUUAGGGUUAGUGUUGGAGCUAGGGUUAGGGUUGGGCUUGGAGCUAGGAUUUUUCUGAGUGCAAUGAACCAACUCCCGAGUCUCUAGGACGUUCCUAAAAAAAUUUGAUUUUUUCCAUAGGAAUGCAUGGGUUAGGGUUAGGGUUAGGGUUGGAACUAGGGUUAGGGUUAGGGUUAGGAUUGGAGUUAGGGUUAGUGUUGGAGCUAGGGUUAUGGUUGGGCUUGGAGCUAGGAUUUUUCUGAGUGCAAUGAACCAACUCCCGAGUCUCUAGGACGUUCCUAAAAAAAUUUGAUUUUUUCCGAUAGGAAUGCAUGGGUUAGGGUUAGGGUUAGGGUUGGAGCUAGGGUUAGGGUUAGGGUUAGGGUUAGAGUUAGGGUUAGUGUUGGAGCUAGGGUUAGGGUUGGGCUUGGAGCUAGGAUUUUUCUGAGUGCAAUGAACCAACUCCCGAGUCUCUAGGACGUUCCUAAAAAAAUUUGAUUUUUUCCCAUAGGAAUGCAUGGGUUAGGGUUAGGGUUAAGGUUGGAGCUAGGGUUAGGGUUAGGGUUAGGGUUGGAGUUAGGGUUAGUGUUGGAGCUAGGGUUAUGGUUGGGCUUGGAGCUAGGAUUUUUCUGAGUGCAAUGAACCAACUCCCGAGUCUCUAGGACGUUCCUAAAAAAAUUUGAUUUUUUCCCAUAGGAAUGCAUGGGUUAGGGUUAGGGUUAAGGUUGGAGCUAGGGUUAGGGUUAGGGUUAGGGUUGGAGUUAGGGUUAGUGUUGGAGCUAGGGUUAUGGUUGGGCUUGGAGCUAGGAUUUUUCUGAGUGCAAUGAACCAACUCCCGAGUCUCUAGGACGUUCCUAAAAAAAUUUGAUUUUUUCCCAUAGGAAUGCAUGGGUUAGGGUUAGGGUUAGGGUUGGAGCUAGGGUUAGGGUUAGGGUUAGGGUUGGAGUUAGGGUUAGUGUUGGAGCUAGGGUUAGGGUUGGGCUUGGAGCUAGGAUUUUUCUGAGUGCAAUGAACCAACUCCCGAGUCUCUAGGACGUUCCUAAAAAAAAUUUGAUUUUUUCCAUAGGAAUGCAUGGGUCAGGGUUAGGGUUAGGGUUGGAGCUAGGGUUAGGGUUAGGGUUAGGGUUGGAGUUAGGGUUAGUGUUGGAGCUAGGGUUAGGGUUGGGCUUGGAGCUAGGAUUUUUCUGAGUGCAAUGAACCAACUCCCGAGUCUCUAGGACGUUCCUAAAAAAAUUUGAUUUUUUCCCAUAGGAAUGCAUGGGUUAGGGUUAGGGUUAGGGUUAGGGUUGGAGCUAGGGUUAGGGUUAGGGUUAGGGUUGGAGUUAGGGUUAGUGUUGGAGCUAGGGUUAGGGUUGGGCUUGGAGCUAGGAUUUUUCUGAGUGCAAUGAACCAACUCCCGAGUCUCUAGGACGUUCCUAAAAAAACUUGAUUUUUCCCAUAGGAAUGCAUGGGUUAGGGUUAGGGUUAGGGUUGGAGCUAGGGUUAGGGUUAGGGUUAGGGUUGGAGUUAGGGUUAGGGUUGGAGCUAGGGUUAGGGUUGGGCUUGGAGCUAGGAUUUUUCUGAGUGCAAUGAACCAACUCCCGAGUCUCUAGGACGUUACUAAAAAAAAUUUGAUUUUUUCCAUAGGAAUGCAUGGGUUAGGGUUAGGGUUAGGGUUGGAGCUAGGGUUAGGGUUAGGGUUAGGGUUGGAGUUAGGGUUAGUGUUGGAGCUAGGGUUAGGGUUGGGCUUGGAGCUAGGAUUUUUCUGAGUGCAAUGAACCAACUCCCGAGUCUCUAGGACGUUCCUAAAAAAAUUUGAUUUUUUCCCAUAGGAAUGCAUGGGUUAGGGUUAGGGUUAAGGUUGGAGCUAGGGUUAGGGUUAGGGUUAGGGUUGGAGUUAGGGUUAGUGUUGGAGCUAGGGUUAUGGUUGGGCUUGGAGCUAGGAUUUUUCUGAGUGCAAUGAACCAACUCCCGAGUCUCUAGGACGUUCCUAAAAAAAUUUGAUUUUUUCCCAUAGGAAUGCAUGGGUUAGUGUUAGGGUUAGGGUUGGAGCUAGGGUUAGGGUUAGGGUUAGGGUUGGAGUUAGGGUUAGUGUUGGAGCUAGGGUUAUGGUUGGGCUUGGAGCUAGGAUUUUUCUGAGUGCAAUGAACCAACUCCCGAGUCUCUAGGACGUUCCUAAAAAAAUUUGAUUUUUUCCCAUAGGAAUGCAUGGGUUAGGGUUAGGGUUAGGGUUGGAGCUAGGGUUAGGGUUAGGGUUAGGGUUGGAGUUAGGGUUAGUGUUGGAGCUAGGGUUAUGAUUGGGCUUGGAGCUAGGAUCUUUCUGAGUGCAAUGAACCAACUCCCGAGUCUCUAGGACAUUCCUAAAAAAAUUUGAUUUUUUCCCAUAGGAAUGCAUGGGUUAGGGUUAGGGUUAGGGUUGGAGCUAGGGUUAGGGUUAGGGUUAGGGUUGGAGUUAGGGUUAGUGUUGGAGCUAGGGUUAGGGUUGGGCUUGGAGCUAGGAUUUUUCUGAGUGCAAUGAACCAACUCCCGAGUCUCUAGGACGUUCCUAAAAAAACUUGAUUUUUCCCAUAGGAAUGCAUGGGUUAGGGUUAGGGUUAGGGUUGGAGCUAGGGUUAGGGUUAGGGUUAGGGUUGGAGUUAGGGUUAGUGUUGGAGCUAGGGUUAGGGUUGGGCUUGGAGCUAGGAUUUUUCUGAGUGCAAUGAACCAACUCCCGAGUCUCUAGGACGUUCCUAAAAAAACUUGAUUUUUCCCAUAGGAAUGCAUGGGUUAGGGUUAGGGUUAGGGUUGGAGCUAGGGUUAGGGUUAGGGUUAGGGUUGGAGUUAUGGUUAGUGUUGGAGCUAGGGUUAGAGUUGGGCUUGGAGCUAGGAUUUUUCUGAGUGCAAUGAACCAACUCCCGAGUCUCUAGGACGUUCCUAAAAAAAUUUGAUUUUUUCCCAUAGGAAUGCAUGGGUUAGGGUUAGGGUUAGGGUUGGAGCUAGGGUUAGGGUUAGGGUUAGGGUUGGAGUUAGGGUUUGUGUUGGAGGUAGGGUUAGGGUUGGGCUUGGAGCUAGGAUUUUUCUGAGUGCAAUGAACCAACUCCCGAGUCUCUAGGACGUUCCUAAAAAAAUUUGAUUUUUUCCCAUAGGAAUGCAUGGGUUAGGGUUAGGGUUAGGGUUGGAGCUAGGGUUAGGGUUAGGGUUGGAGUUAGGGUUAGUGUUGGAGCUAGGGUUAUGGUUGGGCUUGGAGCUAGGAUUUUUCUGAGUGCAAUGAACCAACUCCCGAGUCUCUAGGACGUUCCUAAAAAAAUUUGAUUUUUUCCCAUAGGAAUGCAUGGGUUAGGGUUAGGGUUAGGGUUGGAGCUAGGGUUAGGGUUAGGGUUAGGGUUGGAGUUAGGGUUAGUGUUGGAGCUAGGGUUAGGGUUGGGCUUGGAGCUAGGAUUUUUCUGAGUGCAAUGAACCAACUCCCGAGUCUCUAGGACGUUCCUAAAAAAAUUUGAUUUUUUCCCAUAGGAAUGCAUGGGUUAGGGUUAAGGUUAAGGUUGGAGCUAGGGUUAGGGUUAGGGUUAGGGUUGGAGUUAGGGUUAGUGUUGGAGCUAGGGUUAUGGUUGGGCUUGGAGCUAGGAUUUUUCUGAGUGCAAUGAACCAACUCCCGAGUCUCUAGGACGUUCCUAAAAAAAUUUGAUUUUUUCCCAUAGGAAUGCAUGGGUUAGGGUUAGGGUUAAGGUUGGAGCUAGGGUUAGGGUUAGGGUUAGGGUUGGAGUUAGGGUUAGUGUUGGAGCUAGGGUUAUGGUUGGGCUUGGAGCUAGGAUUUUUCUGAGUGCAAUGAACCAACUCCCGAGUCUCUAGGACGUUCCUAAAAAAAUUUGAUUUUUUCCCAUAGGAAUGCAUGGGUUAGGGUUAGGGUUAGGGUUGGAGCUAGGGUUAGGGUUAGGGUUGGAGUUAGGGUUAGUGUUGGAGCUAGGGUUAUGGUUGGGCUUGGAGCUAGGAUUUUUCUGAGUGCAAUGAACCAACUCCCGAGUCUCUAGGACGUUCCUAAAAAAAUUUGAUUUUUUCCCAUAGGAAUGCAUGGGUUAGGGUUAGGGUUAGGGUUGGAGCUAGGGUUAGGGUUAGGGUUGGAGUUAGGGUUAGUGUUGGAGCUAGGGUUAUGGUUGGGCUUGGAGCUAGGAUUUUUCUGAGUGCAAUGAACCAACUCCCGAGUCUCUAGGACGUUCCUAAAAAAAUUUGAUUUUUUCCCAUAGGAAUGCAUGGGUUAGGGUUAGGGUUAGGGUUGGAGCUAGGGUUAGGGUUAGGGUUAGGGUUGGAGUUAGGGUUAGUGUUGGAGCUAGGGUUAUGGUUGGGCUUGGAGCUAGGAUUUUUCUGAGUGCAAUGAACCAACUCCCGAGUCUCUAGGACAUUCCUAAAAAAAUUUGAUUUUUUCCCAUAGGAAUGCAUGGGUUAGGGUUAGGGUUAGGGUUAGGGUUAGGGUUGGAGCUAGGGUUAGGGUUAGGGUUAGGGUUGGAGUUAGGGUUAGUGUUGGAGCUAGGGUUCUGGUUGGGCUUGGAACUAGGAUUUUUCUGAGUGCAAUGAACCAACUCCCGAGUCUCUAGGACGUUCCUAAAAAAAUUUGAUUUUUUCCCAUAGGAAUGCAUGGGUUAGGGUUAGGGUUAGGGUUGGAGCUAGGGUUAGGGUUAGGGUUAGGGUUGGAGUUAGGGUUAGUGUUGGAGCUAGGGUUAUGGUUGGGCUUGGAGCUAGGAUUUUUCUGAGUGCAAUGAACCAACUCCCGAGUCUCUAGGACAUUCCUGAAAAAAAUUGAUUUUUUCCCAUAGGAAUGCAUGGGUUAGGGUUAGGGUUAGGGUUAGGGUUGGAGCUAGGGUUAGGGUUAGGGUUAGGGUUGGAGUUAGGGUUAGUGUUGGAGCUAGGGUUCUGGUUGGGCUUGGAACUAGGAUUUUUCUGAGUGCAAUGAACCAACUCCCGAGUCUCUAGGACGUUCCUAAAAAAAUUUGAUUUUUUCCCAUAGGAAUGCAUGGGUUAGGGUUAGGGUUAGGGUUGGAGCUAGGGUUAGGGUUAGGGUUAGGGUUGGAGUUAGGGUUAGUGUUGGAGCUAGGGUUAUGGUUGGGCUUGGAGCUAGGAUUUUUCUGAGUGCAAUGAACCAACUCCCGAGUCUCUAGGACGUUCCUAAAAAAACUUGAUUUUUUCCCAUAGGAAUGCAUGGGUUAGGGUUAGGGUUAGGGUUGGAGCUAGGAUUAGGGUCAGGGUUAGGGUUGGAGCUAGGGUUAGGGUUAGGGUUAGGGUUGGAGUUAGGGUUAGUGUUGGAGCUAGGGUUAGGGUUGGGCUUGGAGCUAGGAUUUUUCUGAGUGCAAUGAACCAACUCCCGAGUCUCUAGGACGUUCCUAAAAAAAAUUUUAUUUUUUCCCAUAGGAAUGCAUGGGUCAGGGUUAGGGUUAGGGUUGGAGCUAGGGUUAGGGUUAGGGUUAGGGUUGGAGUUAGGGUUAGUGUUGGAGCUAGGGUUAUGGUUGGGCUUGGAGCUAGGAUUUUUCUGAGUGCAAUGAACCAACUCCCGAGUCUCUAGGACGUUCCUAAAAAAAUUUGAUUUUUUCCCAUAGGAAUGCAUGGGUUAGGGUUAGGGUUAGGGUUGGAGCUAGGGUUAGGGUUAGGGUUAGGGUUGGAGUUAGGGUUAGUGUUGGAGCUAGGGUUAGGGUUGGGCUUGGAGCUAGGAUUUUUCUGAGUGCAAUGAACCAACUCCCGAGUCUCUAGGACGUUCCUAAAAAAAUUUGAUUUUUUCCAUAGGAAUGCAUGGGUCAGGGUUAGGGUUAGGGUUGGAGCUAGGGUUAGGGUUAGGGUUAGGGUUGGAGUUAGGGUUAGUGUUGGAGCUAGGGUUAGGGUUGGGCUUGGAGCUAGGAUUUUUCUGAGUGCAAUGAACCAACUCCCGAGUCUCUAGGACGUUCCUAAAAAAAUUUGAUUUUUUCCCAUAGGAAUGCAUGGGUUAGGGUUAGGGUUAGGGUUAGGGUUGGAGCUAGGGUUAGGGUUAGGGUUAGGGUUGGAGUUAGGGUUAGUGUUGGAGCUAGGGUUAGGGUUGGGCUUGGAGCUAGGAUUUUUCUGAGUGCAAUGAACCAACUCCCGAGUCUCUAGGACGUUCCUAAAAAAACUUGAUUUUUCCCAUAGGAAUGCAUGGGUUAGGGUUAGGGUUAGGGUUGGAGCUAGGGUUAGGGUUAGGGUUAGGGUUGGAGUUAGGGUUAGGGUUGGAGCUAGGGUUAGGGUUGGGCUUGGAGCUAGGAUUUUUCUGAGUGCAAUGAACCAACUCCCGAGUCUCUAGGACGUUCCUAAAAAAAUUUGAUUUUUCCAUAGGAAUGCAUGGGUUAGGGUUAGGGUUAGGGUUGGAGCUAGGGUUAGGGUUAGGGUUAGGGUUGGAGUUAGGGUUAGUGUUGGAGCUAGGGUUAGGGUUGGGCUUGGAGCUAGGAUUUUUCUGAGUGCAAUGAACCAACUCCCGAGUCUCUAGGACGUUCCUAAAAAAACUUGAUUUUUCCCAUAGGAAUGCAUGGGUUAGGGUUAGGGUUAGGGUUGGAGCUAGGGUUAGGGUUAGGGUUAGGGUUGGAGUUGGGGUUAGUGUUGGAGCUAGGGUUAGAGUUGGGCUUGGAGCUAGGAUUUUUCUGAGUGCAAUGAACCAACUCCCGAAAGUCUCUAGGACGUUCCUAAAAAAAUUUGAUUUUUUCCCAUAGGAAUGCAUGGGUUAGGGUUAGGGUUAGGGUUGGAGCUAGGGUUAGGGUUAGGGUUAGGGUUGGAGUUAGGGUUUGUGUUGGAGGUAGGGUUAGGGUUGGGCUUGGAGCUAGGAUUUUUCUGAGUGCAAUGAACCAACUCCCGAGUCUCUAGGACGUUCCUAAAAAAAUUUGAUUUUUUCCCAUAGGAAUGCAUGGGUUAGGGUUAGGGUUAGGGUUGGAGCUAGGGUUAGGGUUAGGGUUGGAGUUAGGGUUAGUGUUGGAGCUAGGGUUAUGGUUGGGCUUGGAGCUAGGAUUUUUCUGAGUGCAAUGAACCAACUCCCGAGUCUCUAGGACGUUCCUAAAAAAAUUUGAUUUUUUCCCAUAGGAAUGCAUGGGUUAGGGUUAGGGUUAGGGUUGGAGCUAGGGUUAGGGUUAGGGUUAGGGUUGGAGUUAGGGUUAGUGUUGGAGCUAGGGUUAGGGUUGGGCUUGGAGCUAGGAUUUUUCUGAGUGCAAUGAACCAACUCCCGAGUCUCUAGGACGUUCCUAAAAAAAUUUGAUUUUUUCCCAUAGGAAUGCAUGGGUUAGGGUUAAGGUUAAGGUUGGAGCUAGGGUUAGGGUUAGGGUUAGGGUUGGAGUUAGGGUUAGUGUUGGAGCUAGGGUUAUGGUUGGGCUUGGAGCUAGGAUUUUUCUGAGUGCAAUGAACCAA